AAUUUUUUUUUUAUUUUUUAAUAAAAAUAUUUUAUUUUUUAGUAUUUUGAAAAAAUAUUUUUUAAUAAUAGUUUAUUUAACUGUGAAGGAUAAUUAUUUAUUUUUAUAGAAGUAGUUUUUUUAACGUACCUUUUGCAUCAGGGUUUAUUAAUUUAAAUUAAAAAUUUAUUUUUCUCGAAAUCAUAAGUUUAAAAUUAAAAUGUUUUUUAUUGUAAUAUAUUUAUAUAUAAUUUUAUUUUGGAAGUGAUAUGCUUUUCAUUUAUGAUUAUAUCUAGUUUUUUAAUAAUUAAAUUUAAUUUAGUUUAUAUAAGUUUUUUUUAUUUUAAUUUUUCUUAAUUUAUAUAAUUAAAUCAAUUAGGGAUAAGCUUGAUUGAUUUUUUAAAAGGAUUUUUUUUAAAUUUUUUAUAGGAUUGAUAAUUUCCAUUUUUAUUUUUUUAUAAUUAUUUUUUUAUUUAAAAGAUUUUUUUUAUUUUAAUUUUUUAUUAAAGUGUUAAUAUUAAUUUUUUUUAUUUUUAAUAAUGAUAAAAUUAGUAAUUUUUAUAAUUUUAAUAUAGGAACUCGGCAAAAUUAAUUUUCACCUGUUUAUCAAAAACAUGGUUUUUUGAUUUUAAUUUAAAAUCAGACCUGCCCGUUGAUUUAAAAAAUUGAAAGGCUGCGGUAUUUUAACUGUACGAAGGUAGCAUAAUCACUUGUCUUUUAAUUGAAGGCUAGAAUGAAUGGUUUGAUGAAAAAUUUUCUUUCUUUAUUUAAUUUUUUUGAAUUUAAUUUUUUAAUUAAAAAGUUGAAAUUUUUUUAUAGGACGAGAAGACCCUGUAGAAAUUUAUUUUUUAUAUAAGGUUUUUUUUUUAGUUUUUAAAAUAUUAUUUUAGAAUAAAUAAUUUUGUUGGGGUGACAGUAAAAUUUUUAUAACUUUUAUUUUAUAUUUCAUUAAUUUAUGUUAUGAUCCAGUUUUAUUGAUUAUAAGAUUAAUUUACCUCAGGGAUAACAGCGUAAUUUUUUCGGAGAGUCCUUAUCGAUGAAUAAGUUUGCGACCUCGAUGUUGAAUUAAGAUUAAUUUUGGGUGUAGCUUUUCAAAGUUUUUGGUCUGUUCGACCAUUAAAUUCUUACAUGAUUUGAGUUCAAACCGGUGUGAGCCAGGUUGGUUUCUAUCCUUAUUUUUUUUAUAAUUUAGUACGAAAGGACCAAUUAUAACAAUUAAAUUGUUUUUUAGAAUAAUAUUAAAAAAAAAAAAAAAAA
rnacentral:rRNA from 1 species